CCUUGACUCCUGCUCAGUGGUUAAAUAUUGAUGAUAAUGAGAAAUAGAGGCACUGACCGGGCACUCAACAACACUGGUGACUUCAGACCAUGAAGGUCAGGCAGAGCCUGUUUGCCCCGAGGCCACUCAUUCAAGAGGUCAGUCACCCUGUGGCAGAGAAGGCUGCAGGCCUGGGUAUGUGCUGAGGGCAGAGCUACUCUACUGGCUCAGCUGUUGCAGACUCCAGACACAGGCACAGGCACGGUCCUCCGGGCUGCAGCUGCACUUUCCUGGAGAGAGCUCAGGAACGAAGACCAUCAUCCUGUGCAUCCUGUGCUCCGCUGGGGAGGAGGAAGAGAACAACGGAAAUCAGUGCUGCACCCAAGAGCAGCUGGAGGCCCCAGAGCACAGGGUCUGGGGAUCUUCAGGGCUUAUCUGCUCAGGGCUCAGCUCCUAGAACCCCAGGGAAGCAGCUGGGACCAAGGGGACCUAAGGAAUAGGGCAUGGACCAGAACAAGGAGGCCAUCGGAGCCCCAGCUGGCACCCCAGUGCCCCAGGAGCUGCUGGAGGAAAUGAUUUGGUUUUUCCGUGUAGAAGACGCAUCUGCUUGGAAUUACUCCAUCCUCGUCCUGACAGUCAUGGUGGUGGUCUUGAGCAUGUUCCUCCUGGUCAGGAGCAUCCAGGCAAACAGGUGAGGAGCAGGGCUGGGGGUCUCUGGAGGGGACCUGCCUUGCCUCCCAGAGGGAAAUCUAGGGAGGGCACCAGCCUUCUGCACAGCAAAGGAGCCUUCUGGCUCCUUUGAGAACCCAAAGCUGUUCUAAAACCUGCAACUGUCCCUGAUUACCACCUCCUGGCUCUGGCAGGCAAGCAGGAGUGAGUGUAGCCAUUAAGAAGGUGGCUUUGAAGUUGGCAUGAUGGCACUUGCCUGUAAUCCCAACACUCUGAGAGGCUGAGGCAGGAGGAUCCCAAAUUUGAGCCCAACCUAAGCAAUUUAGUGAGACCUGUCUCAAAAUAAAAAAUAAAAAUGGUUGGGGACAUAGCUUAGUGUGAAGGCCCUGGGUUCCACCCCCAGUACUAGAGGGAAAAAAAGCAGAAGGUAGCUUUGCCCUUCACCUGUCAGGAAGCCCCAUCUCAAAGUGAACUCAAGAGGCAAGGCACUAUCCUCAAGAACAGGGGACACUGGCCACGCCCUUGUGACACUGGCCACGCCCUUGUGACCCACAGGGUGGGGAGUCUCUCAGCACAGCUAGGUCCCUCCCUUGUGGCCAGGAAGGCUGGGGCACCUUGAAUAAAGCCAACUCAAGGGCUGGGGAUUUAGCUCAGUGGCACCGCACCUGCCUUGCAAGCACAGGUCCUGAGUUCAAUCCCCGGUACUGGAAAAAAAAUUAAAAAUAAAACUAACUCGGAGAGAAGACAGAUGGGUGGGAGUUACUGCAAGGAAGAGGAGGUUGAGGAAAGGGGCG